rnacentral:rRNA from 1 species
GACAGAGGGUGCAAACGUUGUUCGGAAUUACUGGGCGUAAAGCGCGUGUAGGCGGAUUGCUAAGUCAGGGGUGAAAUCCUGGAGCUCAACUCCAGAACUGCCCUUGAUACUGGCGGUCUCGAGUCCGGGAGAGGUGAGUGGAACUGCGAGUGUAGAGGUGAAAUUCGUAGAUAUUCGCAAGAACACCAGUGGCGAAGGCGGCUCACUGGCCCGGUACUGACGCUGAGGUGCGAAAGCGUGGGGAGCAAACAGG